rnacentral:rRNA from 1 species
GAGUGCGUAAUAGCUCACUGGUCGAGUGAUCCUGCGCCGAAGAUUUCCGGGGCUAAAACUUACUACCGAAGCUACGGCAUCAUUAUGAUGGGUAGGGGAGCUUCCCAUACGGGUUGAAGCAUGACCGGAAGGACAUGUGGACAGUAUGGGAGUGAGAAUGUUGGCAUGAGUAGCGAGAUGUGGGUGAGAAUCCCACAGGCCGUAAACCCAA